UUUGCCUAUGGCCAGACGGGAUCAGGAAAAACAUUCACUAUGUCUGGGCCAGAUGAACUUAACGAUGAGACCAUAGGUGUCAACUAUCGUGCACUAGGAGACCUUUUCUAUCUCUCUGAUCAAAGAAAAGAUACAAUUUCUUAUGAAAUCUCUGUUCAGAUGCUUGAGAUUUACAACGAGCAAGUUAGGGACCUACUUUUGUCCGAUGGCGCUAAUAAAAGGUUAGACAUCCGCAAUAGUUCCCUUAAUGGCAUCAACGUUCCAGAUGCUAACCUUGUUCGGGUUUCAUGCACUUCUGAUGUCAUAAGUUUGAUGAACUUGGGACAUAAGAAUCGUGCUGUUGGUUCUACUGCCAUGAAUGAUCGUAGUAGUCGGUCUCACAGUUGUCUUACAGUUCAUGUUCAAGGAAAGAACUUGACCUCAGGAGGCACAAUUCGUGGUUGCAUGCAUCUGGUUGAUCUGGCAGGAAGUGAGAGGGCUGAUAAAACGGAGGCUACAGGGGAUAGACUCAAGGAGGCUCAACAUAUCAACAAGUCACUUUCUGCAUUGGGAGAUGUAAUUUCUGCCCUUGCCCAAAAGAGUCCACAUGUUCCCUACAGGAAUAGCAAACUCACUCAGCUACUUCAAGAUUCUCUUGGAGGGCAAGCAAAGACUCUCAUGUUUGUUCAUAUAAGUCCGGAGCCCGAAGCUCUUGGAGAAACACUUAGCACACUCAAGUUCGCCGAACGAGUCGCCACUGUCGAACUCGGUUCAGCGCGAGUUAAUAAAGACAAUUCAGAUGUGAAAGAGCUUAAAGAACAGAUUGCUAGUUUGAAGGCAGCCUUAGCGAGAAAGGAAGGAGAAGCAGAACAGUUUAAUAAUUGCAAUGAAACACCUAAGCAUAAAUCAUAUGCAUCUUCUCCUCCUGUGCAUCGGCCUUCCAGUGGUGGAUCUCGUAGGCUAUCAAAAGAUGAUUCUAGUAGCCUGGACAAAAAUGUUGCUUCAACGUUGAAAAGACAAAGCCUAGAUCCUCAUGACAUGGAUGCCAAUUCACCUCAAUGGACAAGUGUUACAAGUGAAAGAAAGGAGGAUGAUAAAGAAUCAAUUUCUGGAGAUUGGGGUGAUAAGAUUUCCAUGAACAGAAAUG
rnacentral:sRNA from 1 species